AGGGCAUGAAGAAGUUUGAGACCCUGUCCUACCUUCCGACACUGAAGGACGAGGAGUUGCUGAAGCAGAUCGAGUACCUUCUCCGCUCCAAAUGGAUUCCCUGCUUGGAGUUCUGCCCCGUAAGUAACUUCACCUGCCCCAUGGUGGGCAUCCGGUAACCUUGAUAUCCAGCAUGCAUACCGGGGAUUGAAGUCGAUCGUAAUGACCAUAACAGAAAGGGUUCGUGUGGCGCGAGAACCACCGGUCGCCGGGGUACUACGACGGGCGGUACUGGACCAUGUGGAAGCUGCCCAUGUUCGGGUGCACCGACGCUGUGCAGGUGGCGAAGGAGGUGGAGGAGUGCAAGAAGGAGUACCCCCACGCCUUCAUCCGCAUCAUCGGCUUCGACAACAACCGCCAGGUGCAGUGCAUCAGUUUCAUCGCCUACAAGCCGACCGGCUACUAGACGAUUCGGAUCCGGCUCUUCGGAUUUGCUUUCUUUGGUUCAGUGUUGGAUGUUUCCCCUUCUCUCGUUGUCUCCUCUACGCAACCGCCGACAGUGCAGCAGCGCACUGAGGCCGUCUAUGUUUUGUUUCCCCAAGAACGCGGAGCUUGUAUGUUAAGAAGUUUAUUAUGGACGUUCGCUUAUUUAUAAUAAAGGCUACCCAAUGUGUUUGAUUUUACCUGUAUCCGUCUGCUGUGGGUGGAAGAAUCCCGUACCGUAGUCGGCAGACGUGUGGUGUGGGGGUUGAAGCUUUGCUCUGGCCCAACCUAAUGUUAUCUGGGCUCUGUAUUGGGCCGAUCUCGGCCUACUUGGACGAUCAACCGCUGGGUCAACGGUCAAACACCGCGCGCAUGUCUUCUUCUUCUCCCUCCCCUACUAAUUUAAUGGAAAUAGAUAUAUGGACCCCCAAAAAAAAAAAAAAAAAAAUGUCAUCAUCUCGCAUCCGACGCACCAACAAACGCGCCGUGGCAAAAGCAGUACGAGAGGUUUCCUAUCGUCGUCGGUCGUGAAGAGUAGCAAAGUAGAUCGAGCCCAAGCGAGGAACGUCACGUGCGAGCAUAAUUCGUGUCGGCCCUUCGCUCGUGGUGGGGUACCGCCGCGGUGCCCGGUACCGUGUCGGAUGAUGUAUAUUAAUGAAGCCAACCGUGUGUGAUAUCUCAACUCAUGCUGUAAUCACCGUUUGAAUAGUUUGAUGAACGGUGUCCAUAUCCACAGCAUGCGUGACACAUUUGGUACCUACCCAUUAAAAUACAAUACCAUUCAGAGCACUCUCUCGAUUUAUUUUACUUUUUCUAUUAUUCUUCUUCUUCUUCUUCUUUUUUUCCUUUGGAUAAAUCCUCCUCCGACUCCCUUCUUCCCCAUUCCUAUCUCCUUCCCCUCUUCGGAUUCUCUCUCUCUCUCUCUCUCUCUCUCUCUAGUAGGGAGGCGGAUAAGGUACAUAAAAAUCCGGUCUUUGCCUCCUGCGCUUCUUUUUCUUCCCUUCUUCUUCGAUUCUGAGGGGUGAUCGGCUUCUUUUGUGGGAGAUCCCUCUCGUGGUGUCGCGCGCCGGUGGUUUUCCAAACAGAGUCGGGAUUUUUACUGGUUUUUGGAGUUUUCCUUCUUCUCGAAAUUUCGCACCCUCCUGCUUUUAUGGGAAACAGUGAAAUGUUCAAACUUGCCUGCAAAUACGUCCGAGUUUUCGUAGCUGCGGCGUUGUUUCUACCGGAUUCAAACGGAGAAAACCGCUUUUCUUGUUGGCUAAUUUAGUUGUCACGACAGGCGUUGCCAUCGUAAAGAUUGGGCGAACAUGAACCGCUGCGCGAUGCAACAGAACCCUUUCGCCGCCUACGAAGAGAUGAGGACCGCUUUCGCCGCCGCGGAAAGGAAGCCCCCUGUCUUCUGCCCGAAGCCCCGGCGGCUCAGCCCGCCCGCUGGCGUCGCCGAUCCGAUCUGGCCCCUCCGUUGGCACUCGAGGUUGACAUAUAUAACAACCCCUCCUCUGCUACGACACCGCAAAAGUUUCCCCUUUUCGUGUAUCUGAUUCCACCUCUCUCUGUCUCUCUCUUCUGCUCUUCUCAGUCGUCAAGCAGAUUUCUCCGAUUCGAACGCCGUGGCGGACCUUCUUGACAUCUUGCUCGCAAAGGUGAGAUUUUUUGUUGACGUUGUAAUAACAUGUGUAUUUGAUGUAGCUGAUACCGAAGAAAAUAGAUCUGGAAAACCUCUGUUAUUGACGUCUAUUAUCACGAUUUGUUCGCAGGAUGGUGAAGAACAGAACCGAGAGGCUUCUUCGCCGCCCUUCUUCUGCGGCUCGCCUCCAGACCGUGCGGCAAACCCGGUCGUCCAUGACGCCCGUUUCGGCGAGGACCGUCCGCCGCUGGCGCCGUUCGCCCCUGUGCAACCGACCCAGUCCGUCACGCCGAUGUCCCCCAAGCACGCCAAGUUCGGGCUCCUGCCGGCGGCCGUGCGGGUCGAGGGUUUUGAUUGCCUCGAUCGCGGCUGCAGCAGCAUCGCUGCUGUGGCCUGAACGCCCGCAUGCGCCUCCGAGCUUUCUUUUGGAGCGCGGUGAGAGGAAGAGUGAGAGGAAGGGAGAAUUGACAUCAACAAAUCAAAGAAACCAGCUGUAGGAGAAGAACAAGUUGGUAAUCUGGGAAUGCGUUUUGGCUCUCCAUGUAAACUGUACAUCUUACUAGUGGUGCACCAAUGUUGUGUACUAUUUGUGUGGGAGAAUUGUAUGUAGAUAUCAAAAUAAGGAAGAUAGAGAGUUAGGAGGAGGAGGAGAAGGAAAGCCAAGUUUUUUUGUGUUUUGUUUUGAUCCAUAUGGACGGUAAGAGGUUCUAUUUCAUCCUGUGCUGAAAUAUUCAUCAUCUUGUAUAGAACUCUUAGGAGGAAAUCCUCGAAUCAUGAAAUUGUGUAUCUAUUCAUCAUGUAUAAAAUUUUGUAUUCCUUUUCCUCUCUAUGUUUAUGGUGCCUCUUGGAGCUCUCGAGACGGUGGUGUUGCGAUUGAUGUGGCUGCCACCAGCGAAAAGAUGUUGCGCUUAGUGUUAAGAGCAUCGUUGGACGGAGAUGACUGGAGACGUGGCUUCGUGUUGGAAUAAUGUCAUCUUAUCAGAGCAGAUAUGGUCAAUAUCGUCGACUGAUACGAGAGGCGAUGGGUAAGGAGGAAGAGGUGGAGGAUAAGAAGGAAAUGGGGGCAGGAGGGCCCAGCAAAAGGGGUGUGAGGUCAUGUCUUCUCCACCGAGCUGUCUCUGUUCAAGUGGCGCUGUCGCGAAGAAAAAAAAUAACGAAGUCCAUGCCACCACCAUUCUUUGAAUUCUCCACAUGUGUUCGUCCGUGAUGACUGACUAAUUCAACAACGGAUGGAUCGACUCCGAGACGGACUAAAUGUUCUGUGCCUAACGAAGGAUGGACACAAGUGGAUAAUGCUUUGACAAAGGUGGCUAAUUGGCACGCGAUUUCCAGGGUCUUCUGUAUGCACAGAGUCAUGAGCUGUAAUAGGCCAAUGUCGUGAACUAUAUAAUAAAUACAUCGAUGGAAGUCAUGAGCAAGUGGGGAAAAGAAAAGCCUCGGCGAUUUCUUUCUACCCGUUGCCGUCCUGCUUUGCGUCCGACCGUCUCAUUCCAUCCCGCAUGAGAUACGGUGCUGUCGGAAGAGAUUCGGACUCGCAUUAGGUUCCGAUCUCUCCGAGCGUUCGUUCAGACACAUCGCCAGGGAAAAGAAAAAGAGUAGUAGAAUCCAUCCAACUUGUGCUUGCCAAAUAAGCAGAUAAGAGGAACGAAGGCUGGGUUCACAAGCAGUCAACGUGGCCACUUUCCACACCACGGCCUUCGUCCGCAGACCAUUCCUCAUCCCAUCCAAGUGAGUCCAAAAUCUCCACUGCUCACCUCAGGCGUGAAUGCAGAUAAAGAGGAAACAAAGCGGACGUGUCCUCUGCGGAACAUGUGGUCCGCCAUGCACGUAUCCCCUGUUACUCUUGGCCUCGGCGAGACGACGUGCCGAUCCAUGGGUGGAAGAGAGACGGAAGGAAUAGGAGAGAUCCCACGACGUGCAAUGUUUCAUCGCCCACCGUGCUGCACUCGCACAUGGUCUGCGGCUUCUCCCCGGCGCAUGGAAACCAAAUAUGGGAUCGGUGGGAGAAACAGGAUCGGAAACCUGUCUCCACGGUACCACUUUCCUUCCGGUACCCAACCGAUGAAGGGAUGCGUAGAGAUCGUAAUCGAAGCAUCUGACUGCAGGAACGCUUAGAGAAUUCACUCGUUGCAAGCACCAUAGCCUCGUCCUCGUACCAUGCCAUUCUCGAUGAAGGAAUCAGAAACUGGGCGAAGCGAAGGACAUGCCACGUAAAGCAGAAGAACAGGGCACAAAGAAAGGAUUCCGGUGGAGAAUAAAGAGGGAGGAGAGUCUGGUCCAUUGCUUUUGUCGACAGAUGGGUAUCGUUUGAGACCCACCUGGAUCGCUAUGGUGAUGAUAGAUAGAUAGAUAGAUUCUUGAUGUUUAUUCUCCCAUCAAAUCAGUAACAGGGAGGAGUGAAACGGAGCGAGAGAGAGGAGGGACAACACAUUUACGGAGAACCUACAUGUGUCGAGACAGGAAAACAAUGACAGGCUACAGGUGGGUUGCGUACACUCAAACCUUUGUCGCCGCAACUGGAUGCGAAUGGGAGCUGUCGGCGAAGCAAGCAAUCGGACCUGAGUUGGCUCACCGCAGAUGCCUAAUGAUUGACGCGGAAAAGGCCAAAUCGAAGAGAUUUGGUUUGCACGAUUGGGGUGUGCAGCCAACUCGGGUUGAGUCACCUGCUGCGGCGCCUUUGAUUAGCUCUUCCUCUGGUGGGGGUGGACGUGUCCACCUGUGGCCAUAAGACCCGCCGCGAGUGGUGGUCAAAACAAAGAAGGCCUUGGGAACGACGGAGGCCGACUUUAACGUGGCAAACGGCUGUGUGCCACCUUUACUGAUGUGCCCAAAUCUUUAACAAAAAUAAAUAUUCGUGGACCGCUGGGGUGCUGAGAGCAUCUGCUUUUUAUAAUACGAAAAGAAAAGCCUGUUCGUACGACAAUCUUACUCUGGCGGAGUGGCUGAAGGAACAUUCCUUUUUCUUCUUAUAUAUAUAAUUACUUUCUUCGUGUUCGUGAGCUCCAACUCAGAAACUUCCCUUCGUUCCUAUCUUUACACAUGUUUGCCUGAAUAGAUGCUUGGAGGUGCUGUCAACGUAAGAACGCUUGAAACUGAUAAAAGGAUGGGGCUCGAUGUCAAACAUCAUAAGAGAAAAACUAGGUCAUGUCGUCUAGGAUUAAUGUUCUUUACGAUUAAGCAUGCGAGUCCUUUCGAAAUCAUGAUCGAGAAAAGUCCAAAAGGAUAAGCUUAGCCAUCGUGUAUCAAUGAUUCUUUACGAUUAGGCAUGCGAGUCCUUUCGAAAUCAUGAUCGAGGAAAGUUCAAAAGGAUAAGCUUAGCCAUCGUGUAUCAAUGGUUGCUCUAAUUUAUGAUCACAUGAGGGGGGUUACCUUACAUGCGUGUCGACUCCAAGUGGUGGCUCACGAUUAGGGUGAGUCAUCGAUCUAAUGCUUGUGUCAUUGUUUUUCCUAUCAACACCUAUAGUUUUUUCUAAUAUCAUCAUAUUUUUAAUAUAUUUUAAAACACUAAUAUCUCCUGAUAAAAGUCUAAUAUACAAAAGAGUAAAAUUAUUUAUUUCAUUAAAUUUUCAUAAUAAAAUAGUAAAAAUGGAUGACAUCUUUGUUCAAAUUUUUAUCAUAAAAAAUUUUAGAUUCUGAUGCCACUUUUAUAUCCUACGAAGAGUUAGCAUUUUUUAUUUCUUCAUAAUAUUUUUAAUUUUUAUUAGACUGUGUUGAACAAGGAGGUGUUUCAUCCUCCUCUUCUAUUCAAUUAUUGAACACAACUAUUCUUUCCAUUAAAUUUUUAUAAUAAAAAUUAAAAUUUAAUCGAGCUAUUUUUUUAAAAAAAUAAAAAAAAAUAGAUGAGAAAAAGUAAUAGCGACCCCUCCAACCAACCCCUCAGCACACGACAACAUGAACAGACUAGUCUAAACGCAAAAGUAAUAUUGACCCGUUACACUAAUUUGCUUUUGGUGGGUUGUCCGUACGGACAUCGGUGGGUAUAAGGCACGCAGCCCAUGUGGGGGUCGACUGCAGAAAUAACUCCGUCCUCGGCGACGAAGCUGAAGCUGAAGCUGGCAAUUGUUUUCUCAGAAUCAGAAUAUUCAAUCGGCCACCAUAAAUCAAAUGAAUAGGAAGAACAAAAGAAGCACAGACCAGCGGUGGUGGGAAGGUGAAGGUCGUGAUCGUCGCCGUAAAUUUUAAUAGAAACGAGCGAAGAAAAGAAAAUAUUUCGAAAUUGGACAAACAAUGGCUCCUUAAUUUAUUAAGUAGCGACACGCCGGUGACUGUGCGGGAGCGGGAGGAGGAGGUGGAGGUGGAGCUCCGCACGACGGAUUCGCCUCCGACCGCCCCUCCCUCAUUAUUUCGUCUGUCGGUCACGCACGGCUGUGGUCCGCACCUCUCUCUCUCUCUCUCUCAGACACGUGACCCCCCGCUUAUCCGCUCCAAAGCCGCGACGCGAACCGGACGCGCUGCGUCUGCCACGUUGCUGCCGGCCCCUCGUAACGUAGCCACGUGUACUCUUUAGCCGGGUUCGACCCGGCUCGGGUAGCCAUGCCUUUCGAGCGACGACUCGGCCCGUCACGAGUCCUCACACCGCCCCACCCACGACGACGACGACGACAGAUAUAGAUACGUCGCCGAACCCAGUACGUUCCUGCCGUGUCGAAGACGUUUCGGUCCGUGACGCGCCCGUGGCGACCAACAUGCCUAGCGUUAAUAGCGACGGGUGUUACUCCUCUUUCGGCUUAAAAUCACCGGAGUAAACAGAUCCGGAUUCGACGCGUCGAGUUGAUGGCUGCGUGCAUUUAGGGGAAGGUCUGGUGCUCGCACCACGCCUCUUUGAUUCAUUCCAUGCAUGCUUUUGACGGACGCACGCGCCAAUGAACGUCGAGAUUCGCGACGGACAGAAUCGCUGAGUGGGUCCGCCGCGGGGCCUCCAUGUUUGGCCAUUAUUGAUUAUUAGAGGUGGGUAGGCGCGGGCAGCGAUUGGGUUUCCUCGUUUCCUUUUUUUUCUUAUUCCUUCCUUUCCGUGGGCGAUUUGGUUACCACCGCAUCACCCAUCGAGCUGACAAAGAAAGAUAUUGAUGCCCACCCUGAAUAGCCUUUUUCUUUUUUCUAAUCUUUCUUUGGCGCUGUUGAGGUCAAAUAAAAUUAUAUUAACAUCAUGAUCGUUCGUUUACCCGCGGAUGGUGGAUGAUGGCAUGGGAGUUAUCCUACCAAUAUGUUAGCGGCUACGAUUCCUAAUUUAAUCUUCCAAGUUAUCCUACCCCAACAGGAGGUCAAACUCGACAACGAGAGGGAGGAUAACGUCGAACGUUUCUCACCGUUCAAAUCCAGAGGAUAGAGAAGGGAGAAGAAUAAAAAAAACAAAAAAGGAAGAUGCGCCCAAAUCCAGCCGAGCCGAGAAGACCAAGCCAAACCACGUACCGCCUCAGCCACGCCGACGACGGGGUCACUGCCCCGGACGCCAGCUCCGGACUCCAAACCCGACCCAUACGUGUCCAAAUUACCUUUCCUUUUCCCUUCAUUAAAAUAAAAAAAAGCAAGACACACCCGUGAUGCGUGGGCCCCUCCCACCUUAUUUCCCCCCCACCCCGCCCCCCUUAUUAUUAUUAUUAUUAUUAUUAUUUUACUCGCUCUUCCAUCUGUUAUGGACUUUAUCACGCCACCCACCGUAUUUCUCGUGUCUCGCGAAACGUCCCCAGAAAAAGAAAAAAAGGAAAAUGAAUAGAAAUCCGCCCCUCCUCUUUCCCUCCCUAUAUAAACUCCCCCUCCACCGUGGACGAAACCAUUCACAUGCUUACUCACGCUUCCGUGCUCCUGUUUUGAGUUUUGACCUUCUUCCUACUCGGCCCCCUUAUCAUUUUCUUUCCCAGUUUGCCCAUCGACAACCUGAAAUGUCUUCUCCACCCCCAUACCUUCCUCCUGUAGAGGCCUCCGCCGAUCGGAAAAGACGCCGCGACGAGAUGGUGGAGAUAGAGGAGGAGGGGGAGUCGCCGGAGAUCUCCUCGCCCGAGGCCAAGCGCCUCCUCCUCGACAUCCUUGACGAUGACGCCGAUGCCGGAGACCAGGACCUCGCCUCCGUCAUGAAGAGCCUCGAGGAGGAGAUCGCCCUCCCCUCGCCGCCUCCGCAACCGCAGCUGCUCCCUCUGGCCGCGGUGGACCAGCCCGACCUAGGGUUCCUCUUCGAGGCCUCCGACGACGAGCUCGGCCUGCCGCCCCAGGCCGACGAGCGCUGCGAGGCACCCGAGCCGGAGGUCGCCGAGGAGAGCGCCGGGUUUGGCCAGAUCUGGGGGUUCGACGACGGCGACCUGUGCGGAUACGAAGGGUUCGAGUUCGGGAUCCGGCCGGAGGAGCGGGCGGAGGCGGACGACGGGGUGGUGUUCGACGGCGGGCUGUUUGAUUACGCCGACGUGGUGCCCUGCGGGCCGUCCGAUUUCGCGGAUCUAUCGUGGCGGCCGGAGACGCUCCCGGCCGUCUGAUGACAGUCCGGACGCUUUUGUUCUUCCUUCUUUAAACCCCCCCCCUUCUUCAACUUUUCUUUUGUUCUUUUCCUUCUCUUUUGAGGAGCGGUAGGCGGUCGUUGUAAAGCUUAGAAAAAAGAAGAUGAAGAAAGAAGACGCUUGUGAACGAGAAUCGAACGAACGGUUUCGCACGAUAUUUCGAAGAAGGAAAUCAAUCUUUCGUUUUCUAUUUCGACAGCGUCAUUUUAUCAUCCACCUUAUUCGACCUUUGGAUGGACAUCCGACGGUGCAGAAAUGGGGAUCCCAAUAAUCUCCUUGGAUGCUCCGCUCGUCGCUUCUUGAUGACCAAAACAGAAAACCUAACAGCAGAAUAAAAAGUCGAUUCAACCCAUGAAGCACCAGUCUUAUUCGUUCAUUAAAUAUUUCUAACAUUCCGUUGCGUAGUAACGAGUUAUGCCAUUAUUCAUAUCCCGUAUUAGCUAAGAAUUAUGCUCAAUAAAUUAUAUUAUAAAUUGAUUACGAAUGGUGUAUGACUUGGUUGUGUGUGGGACCUGAGUUUGGUGGCAAGCAGUUUCGGAAACGUGUCGGGCUCUGUACGAGGCCGGCGCAGCGAGUUCUGUGAUGGGCCUUCUUCGUCUGUCUUUGCAUCUUCGCAAAGAAUGUCUGUUUCCCUUCCUUGCACUUGCGUUCCUUGGGUUGAUUCCGGCCUCGACCUAGUUGCAUGGCGUGAUUGGCAGUGGAGGACAUUAGAAUUCCAUCCUACGAGGUCUGCUCUCUUUCCUUUGUUGCUUACAAUCGAUGAAGAAUGGAUCUUUACAUGCCGCGAUCAAGGCCGCCUGUUUUUAGAGCCUCUUUUGGUAGGUCGAAACCUAAUUUUUUUUGCAUCACCUAAAUUUAUGGCAUCACCUUAGUAUGACGACGUUGUGUUCGACGAUAUGCCUCUUUUGUUUUCAUUCAUAAUCUUAUGUUUUCAUUAAUCAAGUCUAGUUCUCAUUGGAUUUCCGGUGCGGUGCCACGCCCCUUUUUGCUGGUGAGUAAACACAACACAUUAUAAUUUUUCCGGUGGUAGGAGGUCUGCGGGUGAAGAAUUCAGAAAAACUGGGACAAAGGAGAUGGAUGAAGAGUCUACUUUGUGGAGUGGGAGCGAGGACCAUUAAUGCUACCUGAAUGAUCAUGGUGAUCCGUAUAUAAUAAACAUACAGUUUGAGCUUGAGGAGACAUCCAAAUAUCGACUGUUGAAGGCAGAAAAGUAGCACCAGGAGGUCUCUCAGGGAAGGCAAGCUACAAAGCUUGCUGCAGAAAAUGCACUGAAAAAUAUUUAAGAAAGUGUCGGACAGGAAUGUAUGGGAGGCGGCAAGUGAUCUAGAUAUCCGGAUUGGAGUUUUCGAAAACAUUGUUCCAGGACCAGGCUAUGCACAGCUUCGAGAGGAGGGUGGUCCUAAGAAGGGUAGACAUCCGAUUCUUCAAGGAUAGCACAGGCACAUAGAAGAGAAUCAGGAUUCGGAUUUUUCGGUUUGACAGAAAAUUUCAUUAGAUCGUGAAAGACCAUUUGUCUAUGAUUUAAUAUGCCAAGUUAGAGUCCUCUGAUGAAGUAGAUCAAUAUGAUGGUUGCUUGCAUCAUCCCAAGGAAAGAAAUUCUCUGGUCUAACCUGACCAAUUUAUCAUCCACCUGUUUCUCCUGCUACAUAUAUUCGAGCCCGUCGUCGAUGGAAAAGUGAAGAAUGAGUAUUUCUUGUUUGUGUCUGUUGUUUCUUCGAUCCAUCUAUCUCUCUCAUGUCUUUGUUACCACAUGCAUGCAAUCGAAUUAAGUUCACUGAGGAUUUAUAUUUUGAUUCCAGAGAAACUGUGUUCUCAUUUACGCUUCGUGCGUUCUUCCCAUCUUUGUUAUGUCUUUUGUCCCAUUAGUUAACACUCGUAACAUGUUGAUGUUCACCGGAAAACUCGUACAGGCGAGGGAUGGACCAUGGUACGUUGUCCUUUCUAGCUACUGCAAGUGGAUCAAGUGGUAAACUUGCAGCAAAUUUGAUCUGCAACUCGAGUUAUAAGGCCAAGGACUAUUGUAUGUUUGUUUUGAAUAGGUAUGUGUAUAAUAUUUCUGCCAUUGGACUUAGGAAGGAAGUUUCUUGCGAAAUGAUGCACCGACCUGCUCCCAUUUCUAAAAUAUGCCCCAUCUGCUUAGGCUUAGCGAGUUGCAACAUAAACAGUUUGGGUUGGGAAGGAGCUUUUCAUUGCAGUGUGUGGUAUGGAAUGUAUCUUGUUUCUUGUCUGCACCGAUCCAAGGAUGGAUCAUUCUGGCACGGUCAUCCUCUCAUAAUGGUUAGUUUCUUGAUCCUUGAUCAAGAAGAAAAAAACGAAAGCCAUGCUCCUUGAUCCCCCGGCCAAUCCCUGUUUCUCGAGGCUUUUGUUUUGUGAAUCCUCUCGCCCUUUCUCUCAUCAUAUCCCCCUCCUGUACGAAAAGCAAGUGACAAAUCUCCUUGUGCCACUAAAGCUGACUCCCAUUGUCUAAAGACUUGUUGCGGGGACAGUGUUUUCGCCGCACAGUGUCUCGUACGGUUCCAGCUUUUGUCCAUCGUUCCUCUGUCUUUUGGUCUCCCAUGCCGACAUUGGAGCACUGUUCCGUGAGCCUCACAUGGGUGUUGGUGCCGCACAGUGAAAGGCUGCUGACCUCCUCUGUCUGUGAGACUUAAGUUUGACCGUCGGAGAAAGGAAGACUCGACCAUCAACGGUGAUCAUUCUUUUGAGAUAUCUGUAUCUUGUCGUGCACUGCCAUUCUUUAUCCAUCUUUCGAGGACUCGGGCCCUGAACCCUGCAGCUGGUUGGUCAUCUUUAUAGAUACCACGGCAUCGGUGAUCUUAUUAUAUCUUAUGUUGCUGCCCCGGUGGUUAAUUGUCCAUAUAUUUGAACUCAUAAUUUCUUUAAUCUCUUCGUGAUGCAUUGCCCCCCUUGCACUCAUUUUAGAUUAUCUAUAACAGUGUGGCUCUCAGUUCUUACCUUGUGGAAUUGUACUUGUAUUGAUUGGGUAACGCAUAUUUGCCUAAAGGUUACAAGUAAAUUAUAUGAAUAAUUUAAUUGUGGACCAAAAUGAGGAUGGUAAUCAGUAGCAUCGAGGACGGUGGGAAGCACAAGAACAAGGGGACGAGAAGAUGCUCGACAACAGCUUGAGCUAACAUCAAGAAUGCUACCAGUUCGAAGCACCACCGACUAUAGGAAACCAUAGCAGCUACGAGGAAGGAAGAAGGGAAAGAGAGAGAGAGAGAGUCAACCCCCCCCCCCCCUUGUCUCCUGAAAACCUACCAUCUACAUGAUAAUACAAGCAUUAGCGUUCUCAUCACUGAAAAGAUGAGUGGCACAGAAGCCGUUGUCUACUUGGCUGCUGAGAUAGCGAGGGCUCGGGCAGUAGUUGUAGUAGCCAGUGUAGGAGGCGAUCUGAGGGGACCUGAGGUGCAUCAUCUGAGGCUGCACGCAUCUGCCGUCGUGCAUCGCCAUGCUGUGCCCUCUCGAGUUGUUCGCCAUGGAUGGUGGAUGGUUCGGGUACCCCUGCUUGUUCACCAGCAAUGCCGACUGGUAUUGUGCCCCACCAGCAUUUCGUGGCAAGCCUCCAUUGCUCCCAACGAGACCCAUCAUCACAUUAUUCGCCUGCGUCAUCCUUUGUCCCUUCCCUGCCUCAGGAUUGCCACUCGCCACCUUCUUGUCGUUGGCUGCAGCAUUGACGCCUUUUGGCUGUGACCCACUUGAGCUUUUCACGGUGUGCUCUGCCUCUCUGCUCUUCCAUCCGCUGCUGCCAUUUGUUGGCCUCGCGCUGGCUGGUGCAUUGUUUGCCUGCCUCGUUAAACUGAUUUGCAUCAUCUUAUGGUCGAGGAUUUGCAGAUCAUCGUCGUCUUCAUCUUCGUCGUCAUCAAUAUCAUCAUCAUCAUCAUCAUCAUAGUCUUCCUCGUCGGAGCUGGACGAGGGAAGCUUGUUGUGCUGGUGUUUGAAGGCUUUGAGGCCUCGCAGGAGGCCUUGUUUGCCUCGCCCUUCGAUCUUCGUGUUGGCUUCCUUCAUGGGAUUGGCAACUUGCUUCGGUGGUGGUGGUGGUGGUUUUUUUUGAUGGAUGGACUUCUGAAUCGGGGUAAGCUUUUGAGACCAAAGCUCCGCACGCUUACCUGCUCUGACCAGCUUCCUGAUGAGGGUUUCAGAGUCCACAUUCCCAGAAACUGUGACCUUCUGUUCUUCUAUAUCUAUGCUGACUGAGAAGACUCCUGAGUGAGAUGCACAGAACAAGAGGUGCAUGAUGAACAUCAAGUUUCUAGUCAAAUCAGGAGUUGUAUCUGCUGUCCAUGGAGGAUAUAACGAACGUUAGAUCAGGUACCUUCAAUUCUAUGGAGGAGCUUCGUAACUUUGUGCUUACAUCCAUCACAAUGUAUGUUCACCUUCAGGACGUGGGUCUGCAAGAACCAACCAAACAGUUUCGCUUCACUAACUCCUCUUCUCGCAAGAUACAAACGAAACAGAGAGGAGGAGAGGUACCUGGAUCUUGAGGAGCUUGAAGUCUUCGCCCUUGACCAUUUCAGCCGCAAUUCCUUCCUGCUGUCUGGGAGAUCACAAAGGAACAGGACGCAGUUCCUUGUCUGCAGGGAGAGAAGCUAAGCCUCGGCAUGCAAGACUCGUCUCCUCCACCAUCCCCUGCACUUCCCUCUAUAUACCUCGGGGCACCCAACAGGACACCACUUCUUUUGUCCACUGCUCGCACUAUGAUUGAUACAAACACGCACUCUCCCUUUUCUUUUCCUUUUUUUUUUUUUCUCUCUUUUUCUUUUUCUUUUUUUUGCUUUGAUAGAAGAGAGUAUGUAUGAUUAGGUCUGUCUGAGAACAUCGUCCAAUGUUCUGUGUGCGUUGGGAUCCUCCCCGCGCGUAGAUUUGGCGUCUGGAGAGCCAUCCAAUGGCUGAGACAAAGCAGCUAAGCGCUGAGGGGAGGAAACGAAGAAAGGAGAUCGAGGAGAGAAGCCAUGCAGCAGCGACCUGACCUGACCUGACAUCUGCAUUGCUUCCUGCAUGCAUAGCCCUGCACAGGCUCGUCUCUUUGCAUCUGGUGCCCAUUUUUAUCGUCUCCAUCUUCUUCUUUUCUUCUCCUCUCUACUCUCUCUUUCGCCUGUUCUGCUCCUGUGCCCGCCAUAAACCCAGAAACACAGCUUAACGUUUGACGAAACACCUCCAAAUCAAUCACGUAGGCUCCUGUCCGCUAAAAGCAUUCUCUUGGACGUUGUUAAGAACCAGCGUGGUUGUCCACCGCUGAAAGAAUGCGUAGGUUGUGGUAACAAGAACGAUGGGCCUCGGGCCAUCAUGCUCCGCUCACCUGUAACCAUAGGUUUGGUAUCAGUCCACGAGCUUUGAUGCAUUCUCUUAAAGUUAGGAGGCGGCAACGAGUUCAGCUGUUUGUGCUGUAGAAAGUAAUCUUAAUUUAGGGUGAAUUCAGAAGCAGAGUGGCCCGAAGACGACGACGACGACUCAUUACUUUGGAAGCUGAGUUAGAGCUCCAUGUCGGUAGGGGACACUUUGGACGUCAAAGUUGGGUCGCGUAUGGAUCCAAAUCCUUGACUUCUUCCUUCUUCCACCGGUACGCAUGCACUUGGAGGAAAAGCUGAUCACAUGGUCUGUGGCAGACAAACAAUUAGGUGAUCUACAAGUAAUCUUGGUAAUGACAGGAGAUUAGAUGCAGAGAUACAAAUGGUUGUCCACCUCAACCUCAUUGGAUAUUGCAUUUAUUAAGAGUCAAAUCUCACGAGACUCCAAAAGUUAGAGAAAAGAAGAAAUCAACAUCCGAGUUCAUCAUUAAUCACACACACACACACACACACACCAUCACAACAUGGUCAAAAGUUGUGACAAUUUGGUCAUCAUUCCUGGGCAACUCACUGACUUGUAUCUAUUAAUCUGACAAAGCUGGGAAAUUAGCUGGAACCAAUACGAAAUCUAGCCAUCUGUCUAAACCCACCACCGAGCGUGAUCCUCCGUGAUGACAACACAAAGCCGAAUGAAAUAGGGCGUGUUUGAGAUGAAAUGGCCGAAGCCAGUGGUGGCAAUCAUUAAAAAGCAACACGUUAAACGGAGAUCGUGGGUUUCAACGGCGGGCGGCAAUGGCGGUGGUGGGAACAUGAUGCCCGACGUGCCUUGCCAUCAUUUCCCUUUCUCACAAAGUAGUCGUGAAAUUUGCUUGAUAUAUUGGCCACAAAGAUCGACGAAGACAAAUUUGUCGAUAGGAUGAAACAACGGUGGUAGAGGAGGGAUACGGGUGGCCAAAAGAAAAGAAACAUGAGGGAGGGCCAGAACGGGAAAUAAACGCCCGAGUACUUCUGAUUCUCCUCCUCCUCCCUUCCUUCACUCCAACAGAUCCAAUCGCUCCCUUGUAAGCCUCCUCCUCCUUUCCUUCCACUGAUUGUUUUUCUUGUCGCCGUGCCUUUUUGGUUUACUUUGGUUCUACUUGGUCUGUUAAGGCAGGGAUAGGAGAGAGAGAGAGAGAGAGAGAGAGAGUAGGGGUUUCAGGGUCCAUAAGAAAGCUGCCACCUUUUUCUUCUCGGUGUAUUGAUUCCUCUGUUUCUGGUGGGUUUGUGAUUCCGUUCUUGGUUUUCUUUUAGCCUCAUUCAUCUCUCCUCCUCUCUACCCUUCUCUGAAUUAUGGAUUUGUUUGCUCUCUUUCAUCUUCGUUUUCUCUUUGUCGUUUCGGAUCCAUGAAAGAUCGCUCCUUUUUCAGUGUUUCGUUUGGAAUUUCCAAUAAUACUUUGGUUCUCGUGUUUUGGUUGCUGUUCUUCUUGUGACCGAUUGAAUUUUGAUGAAUCUUUCCCGUCUCAGUUUUCUCUGUUCGUGGGAUUUCGAAUACCUUGUAGUUUGAGGAAACCGACAUCUUUCUUGUGCUUCUCUGCUGCAACCCUGUUGGUCUUGGUCUCUACACGAUGAUGUUAUUCUUACACUUACUUUUUACUGUCCUGAUAGAUUGUUGGAUUACUAUCCUCCGUUUUUGGUUCUGCGUCUCAGUGUCCUGCUCUACGUUGCAAAGAUAACUUCUUCCGUCAUGUGGGGAUUGUUCAUGAUUUUAUUAACAUCUUUCCUUUGACUCUGACGUAUGGUUACAUUGGCUUCUUUGUUACAUUGUUCUCCUCUUUUCGUUCAAAGUUCCAGAAGAAUGGGAGACCAUCUUGCUUUGUUAGUGGACCACCUGCUCACCGAGUCAACGCUUGAAGCGGCUAUUGGUAGUCGGAAGCAUGGCCAGAUUGUCGCCAAUUCGGCAUCUUUGGAGGACCCGGCCAAAGAAUUCACUCGGAAGAGUCACGUCAGAGGAAGGACAUCCGUGGGAAAGUUGGUCGAGUGCCGAAUUUGUCAAGAAGAAGAUGAAGACUGCAACAUGGAGAUCCCUUGUUCAUGUUGUGGCAGCUUGAAGGUAAAUCAAGCUUCUAUGUAACAUAUGUAACUUGCCUUUGUAUUGCCUAUUACUGUAAGGUCAAUUUUUUGUUGCAGAAUAUGGCUUGUUCUUGAAGAUUUCAUUUUUGUGAUAACACGUAUUACUAUAAGUUCAAAUUUUGUUGCAGAAUAUGGCUCGUUCUUGAAGAUUUCAUUUUUGUGAUAACAUGGAAAUCAUGCAUACAUCUGCUUCGGUCAUGCAGUUAUUUUGUAUUCUGAUUUGUAGCAAAAAGGUUCAUCAGUUCUAGCCUGCAAACUGAAUUUCCUGUAUGAUAGUGUGUAUGUUUGAGCUACAAUUUGUUAUUUUCUAUUAAUGUAUGAAAUAGUUUGGUUAUUUUCCUGUAUGAUAGUGUGUAUGUUUGAACUACCGAGUGGUAAUCUAGAAGUUAAAAAUUGCAAUUUAAUUAAGGAUUCAAACAGUGAUCAAUGUUCAUUUGUAAUUCAUUUGCAACACAUUACUUUUGCUCAGUAUCUGUUUGGCAGAAGUCUGCCCGAGAUAUGUUCCUCUUGUGUUUUAGAAUUACCUUUAAUCCAGUGAAGCUUCAGUCUGUGAGAUUUAUAUCAUUUGAAAGUCAAAGUAAGUCCGGUUAUUUAUUGACCCGGUGACAGGAAUAUAUCAUACAAAAGAAGGAACUGGUCUCUCUCAUCUCAUUUGUACGUCUGUCACCUUUGUUCAACGUUACUAGUAAAUUGUCAUCCAACAAGUUCAUUGAUCUUUGUGUUCUAGAAGUAUACAGUUAAUGCGUUCACAUAUUUCUUGUUAUGUGUUUUCUUUCGUAGUCUAGUUUACAUCCCAGGAAAAUAAGAAAAAUUCACCUUAGCUCUUUCUUCUUGCAGUAUGCUCAUCGUAAGUGUGUUCAAAGAUGGUGUAACGAGAAGGGCGACACAGUGUGUGAGAUUUGCCUGCAGGUGAUGUUUUUUUUUUCUGGCCUCGUAGUUUUCUUGAUCUCAACAUUCUGUAGUCACCAUGGUGAAAGCUUGAGCAACACGUACUGAUAUUGAAAGUGUCAAUUGAGGCUUUCUCAUCAAGCAAUUAUCUCUUUCAGAUUACAUGCUGGUCAUUUCAUCUGCACAUUUACUUUGAUGUAGCAUUUGGAUCACGAUAGUUUAUUUCUUGUGAUAUUGCUGCUAUAGCUCCUAAUUCUUGUCACUCAUUCAGCAAUUUAAGCCAGGUUAUACUGCCCCUCCAAAGUUGUUUCAGUAUGGGAGUAUUCCUAUGAACUUCAGGUAUCCUUUAUUCGUCUCGUUACGUUUUUAGGCAUCUGUGGCAAUUCAGAGUUGCAUCAUUUACACAAGGAAUCACUGAUUGUGUCAUAAUAUUUCUCAGAGGCAAUUGGGAGAUUACCAGACAGGAUCAGCAUGAUUCUCAGAUCAUAGCACUGGUUCCAUCUGAACAUGAUAUCGUGCACCCUGAUGACGAUGAUUAUUCAGCUUUAGGCAUGAGAAACACAGUUUGUCGUCAGUCAAUUGUGAUAAUAGUGAGUUUAUUUUGAUUCGAUAAGCACGAUAGUGGAGUGACUUGUGAGUCGCAUUUUGCCUUAUUAUGCUUUGUGUUUUGACGUAAGUGAUUCGCUUUUGUUUUUUCCAGUUCACGGUUCUUUUGGUUCUUCCCCACACUCUUCCUCUUAUGAUCGGUGUAGCUGAGCAGUAUUCAUUCACUCUGUUCUCAGUAAAAAUCUAAUCCUAAGAAAUUAAUAAUUUUCUUUCGACAUACUAUUAUUCGCUUCUGAAGUUCCGUAUGAUGUAGCCCAUUUUUAUUUGUACGUUUCUGUAUAAAAGCUACUGGUGUUGCGGACUGCUGGAAUACUUUUGCCGAUCUUUGUAAUGGUCAGAACAAUAAGGACAUUUCACCAGUUCCGCUGCCGACGGGUAAUUUUCUUUUUUCUUCUUCCCAUAGCGGCUGUAGAAACUCAAAUCUUUUUUCCAUGGUUUCUUAAGAAAAAGAAUCUUGAAACGUUUUGGAACAUGUUGCAGGUAACUCGUGAAAUAUCUGAUCCAGCUGAAGGAGAGAACAUGAUCGAACCUUGGCGGCUGGUGCGGUCUCAACCACAUCACAUUCAGAUGCACUGACUGAUACAAAGGAGCGAUGAUUAGCAGCGCGAGUGACUAAUCCCACUGUUUCUUGGUGAUGCAAGAUCAGGUCAAACAAUGGAAGAUGAGAAGAGGAAAAAUGACUGGGAACAUGGCAUGGUUAUGCAGUCUGCUGCUCUGUACAUAACAUGGUAGUGAUAGGUUUCCCUUCGGAAUGCUUGAAAACGGUAGCCAUAGUUGGAUCCCUCUAUAGAAAGCCACUCGCUUCAGAAAGCUUGAAGAUGAAGUGGCUGAAUUGAGAGUAGUGAUAUGGAUGGCAUGGUGUAAAGUCGAACUCAUUUGGCAGUCAAAAGAAGAUUCAAGUUUGACUUUAAAUGCCAAUGUUAGAACAGCUUGGAUUUUCUUUUUACUUUUAUUUAUUUAUUGGAUUUACUUGAAUAAGCAUAAUUAUGGGUCAAACCAUAUGUCCUCCCUUGUGGUUGAUUCAAAUAAGGUGAUGAAGAAGGAGUUACUACAUUCACGUCGUCCUUGAAUUGCAUAAGAACAUUUCUUGCACUGGUUGCUAGUGACGAAGUGCUCACCGUCAACAUCUUCAUAUUGAAUCUGAAGCCGACAGAAAUUAACAAUAGAUCAAGAAAUGUCACUAAAUCUGUGCAGGAAAAAAGACCUCCAUUGAGUUCUUCCUGAUGCCACCCACCCCUCGUCAGCCUCGUGGAACUUCUUUUAUGGUGUCCAAUGCCGGCGUCCACGACGACUGCCUCGGCCUCUCCUCUUGAUGCACCGGGUGGCUUCAUUCGCUUUCUUGGCCUGUGCGGGGAGCAAGCAGAGGUCACCGCGGACGGGAAGAAUCCUGUUGGAGAAUCUUGCCUUAGAGGCCCUGCACGAAAGAGCUGCCAUCUCCUCCUCGGUAAGCACCGAGAAGAGCAUGUCCAUCGGCAGCAGGAAGUAGAGCCGGCGUCGCUCGAGUUCCUCGUCCGCCGCCAAACCUGGAAUCCGACACCCCACGUCGAGAUGGUCAGAGUCGCACACGAACUACCCAGGGUUGUCAACCAUCAACUCCGCCGCUCUCACAGAACGCACGUACUCUACGACGCCAUUGACGACCCUUAUGGAUCCACCCGAGGCAGCGUAAGGUGUGCAUGCAGUGUUUCCCAUGAAAUCACACUCCAAUCUCCCAGCAACUAGAACAUCACAAGGGACACAAACAGAGAACGAGAGAGAGAGAGAG
rnacentral:lncRNA from 1 species